CGCACGGGUGAGUAACGCGUAUCCAACCUGCCCAUCACUUGGGGGACUAACCUUGCGAAAAGUAAGACUAAUACCCAAUGACGUCUCUAGAAGACAUCUGAAAGAGAUUAAAGAUUUAUCGGUGAUGGAUGGGGAUGCGUCUGAUUAGCUUGUUGCGGGGUAACGGCCCACCAAGGCGACGAUCAGUAGGGGGUUCUGGACGAGGAAAGGUCCCCCACAUUGGAACUGAGACACGGUCCAAACUCCUACGGGAGGCAGCAGUGAGGAAUAUUGGUCAAUGGUCGGCACGACUGAACCAGCCAAGUCGCGUGAGGGAUGAAGGUUCUAUGGAUCGUAAACCUCUUUUAUAAGGGAAUAAAGUGUGGGACGUGUCCUGUUUUGUAUGUACCUUAUGAAUAAGGAUCGGCUAACUCCGUG
rnacentral:rRNA from 1 species